UUGGUGCAAAGGGAAGGGGUGUUUACUGCUUGCUUUUUCUGUUCGUGGUUUUUAAGGGCUUUUUAAUUGGAUGAAUUGAAGACCAGCAUCAGGGGCCAAGCAUAAAACAAAGUGAUGUCACAGGAAAACCAGGUACUAACAGGUGCAUUGAGGAGACUUCAGGAGGCCUAAACUUUGAGAAAGGAACAUCAGUGAAAAGCAGCAACAGGAGCUGGGAACGGAGGAAUAAUGGGCCAACCAGAACGCUCCCUCAAGCACACGCACGGCAGGAGAUCUGGGAUUGAUACUGUCAACAGCCUGCACACAAAAUAUUGCUUUCUGAAUACUUCCAACUCUUUGAAAAACUUAAGAGCAUGAGGAACUCCCUGUGAUGUACGCUAGUUACUGCAGAGAACUUCAGUAAAACUGUGUGUAUCCCCGUUCAAGUAUACUACUGGAUUUUUGUUGCCAUUUAUAGUAGAGCUGUCCUUUAUAGACCUAAGCAUGGAAGUGUUCUAAUUAACAUGAUGGAACUCCGAGUCUUCGAAGUGUGAGGGUCUGUUUUGUCUGAUUUCACUGAAUUAGUUGCAUCGUUCUCAAUGGAUGAAAUCUUACUCUUGUGUUGAGGGUUCUUGCAAGAACAUGGGCCACACAUGUAUCUGUGCAAGUGGCUGACUGUGCACAAUCACAUGGUGCCCAGUCAAUUAGUUAGCAAAGACAAGGGCAUUGGCAUGGUGGGCAAGUGCAGGAAUUUGCUGACCCUAACAUUAUCUCCUGGGGUCAGGCUGCAUUUCGGUAGGUAUCCCCUUCCUAUCAUCCUAUAGCAAUUGUUACUUGUUAGUUGUGUGUAAUCCUCAAGAGUGCUGUUGCCCUCCCUGCUCACCUUUGCAUCUGUCACUGCCUGGAUCCCAAAAAGAUCUGUGAACCUCACAAUGUUUAUUCACCAUUACUUGCUAUGUCCCAGAAAAGACAGCGAGUGCUCCCCAAGGUUCAACAAUGCUUUUCAAGGAAGGUACAGUCUGCCAAAUCCCGGGAAGAGAGAUUUGCCAUACAAGGAGAACUGGUGUUGACUAGCCAUGUAUUCACUAGGCAAAUAACCCAAAUGUCUUCUUUAACCACCUUGUACAUCUCUCCAGUUGUCUUCAAGAAUCUGUAAGAAUAAGCUCCAAGGACUCUUUGAUCUUCAAUAUCCCCUAAGUUCCUACCAUUCAUGGUGUACUUCCUUUUCUUGUUAGUCCUCCCAAAACGUAUCACCUCAUACUUUUGUGGCCAACAGUGUAAGCAACUGGGCCCAACAUAAAAUUGAAAGCAUGGCCUAACGAAUGCAAAGAGGCCAAAAGCCAACAAUGAUCAGCUCAGAUCUACAUUGCGUUUGAACAAUGGGAGAGUCAUGAUGAUCUGAAACCCAUGAAGAGGUACUCAGCCAGAACAAAAGGGAGAUACAUUGUGUUUGUGUACAGAGGAACUUCGAUUUUCUGAAUCGCACAGGCGGGGAGUAUUUUGUUCGGAUAAUCGAGGGUCCUCUGCAUUUCCUGGUUUUGACCAGACCCCUUGGCAUCAUGGAGUAAUCAUGUCUUGUAAAGGGGAUGGGUAAACCAACAAUGACCUGACCUAACUUCAUUGGACACUGUGACCCUGCCCGAGCUAAAGUCAGAGUACAUUCUAGAAGGGCUGAGAAAAGGGGAGA